AUUGAACGCUGGCGGCAUGCCUUACACAUGCAAGUCGAACGGCAGCACGGGAGCAAUCCUGGUGGCGAGUGGCGAACGGGUGAGUAAAGUAUCGGAACGUGCCCAGUCGUGGGGGGUAACGUAGCGAAAGUUCCGCUAAUACCGCAUACGAUCUAUGGAUGAAAGCGGGGGAUCGCAAGACCUCGCGCGAUUGGAGCGGCCGAUAUCAGAUUAGGUAGUUGGUGGGGUAAAGGCUCACCAAGCCGACGAUCUGUAGCUGGUCUGAGAGGACGACCAGCCACACUGGGACUGAGACACGGCCCAGACUCCUACGGGAGGCAGCAGUGGGGAAUUUUGGACAAUGGGCGAAAGCCUGAUCCAGCCAUGCCGCGUGCAGGAUGAAGGCCUUCGGGUUGUAAACUGCUUUUGUACGGAACGAAAAGGUUUGGCCUAAUAAGCUGAGCUCAUGACGGUACCGUAAGAAUAAGCACCGGCUAACUACGUGCCAGCAGCCGCGGUAA
rnacentral:rRNA from 1 species